GACAGAGGUGCCAAGCGUUAGGCGGAAUCACUGGGCUUAAAGCGCGCGCAGGCGGUCCUUUAAGUCUGAUGUGAAAGCCCACGGCUCAACCGUGGAGGGUCAUUGGAAACUGGGGGACUUGAGUGCAGAAGAGGAAAGCGGAAUUCCACGUGUAGCGGUGAAAUGCGUAGAGAUGUGGAGGAACACCAGUGGCGAAGGCGGCUUUCUGGUCUGUAACUGACGCUGAGGCGCGAAAGCGUGGGGAGCAAACAGG
rnacentral:rRNA from 1 species